rfam:Danio rerio chromosome 16, GRCz11 reference primary assembly.
CUUGUCCUCCCUUGUAAGUCACUUUGGAUAAAAGCGUCUGCUAAAUGACUAAAU